ACCCCAUUCCUUGCUGCAAUGUAAUUAUAUUUAAUUACAAGUGUGCCCCUGGUAGUCUUUAACUGAAGGGCACUGACUGGGUCACUGGUGAAGUUCCCCGCAGGAACUGAGUCAGACCCCAUCUCAGGGCCCUGCACAAGAUAGGUGCCUGCUCUAAGGCGUGGACCCUCGCCACAGCCCUGGCCCGUCUUGACGGGCGAGGGUUACUGUACUUGUCCCAACCGUACAGAUGAGAAAGCUGAGACUCAGGGCCAGCAACCCGGGUCCCAGCGGAGCGCCCGGCACACGCCGACACUUCAGCACCAGUGGCGGUGGCCACCACUGUGGGCGGAGAUGGCUGCGACGCGUGCGCAGGUAAAGUCUAUGCGCGCCUUGCCUCCCACCGGCGCCUUCCCCGGCCUCUGGUUUUUGUCCCCGCCAGCGGCUCCGACUCCAUCGCGUCCUCUUCCAGUCUAGUGCUUUUUUCCAGAUCUCGAUCCCAAACUCCCUCCUGCCAGAAUCUGGACCCGAAUCCACCCAUUGCCCGUUUUCCGCUGCCGCUGGAGAGAAUCUCUGAGGUCCCCAGGAGAGCCUGCCUGCACGGAAGAGACGCCUCCUCGAUUAAAUGCUGUUUUCCAUGACCGUCUCUGUUCUUCCCAUACGGGAAUGGCAGGCAUUCAGAUCUCCAAGAAUAGAGGAUUAGGAGAGACUCCACCACCUAUGUCCUCACAGUUAAUUAUCGAUUUGUGUCAGUUGCCCAUUUUCUCACUUCCUGUUUGUGUGUCAAGGGGUAUUAAUAAAUCUUUGCCUAUUUAAAGAUAUUAGCCUUGGAUUUUCAAAUAUUGCAUAUUUUGACAUGUAAAAAUUUGUUAGUUUUAUUUUUUCAACCGAUCUGACCUGUAUAGUUGGGCUUGAGGAAGCUUCCUCAUUCUACAUGUUACUAUGGAUUUUCUAAUAUUAACACAGGGUUGUAUUUUUUCCAUAUAACUUUCUAUUGAAUUUCUUUUUCCAUAUGAUAGGUGGUGAAGGUUUAGCCCAGUAAAGCAGAGAGGUUAAGAGGUUAGAUUGGGGGCUCUGGAGCCAGACCUGUGUAGAUCUGAGUCGUGGCUCUGGCACUUGAAAGCCGUGUGACCUUGGUUAAGAUACUUAGUCCCUCUCUGCCAAAUGGAGAAAUAAGGGCACCUACCCCAUAGGGUAGUUGUGUGAUUACACAAGUUAAUACACUUCAAUCAGUAGCAAGAAAGUGAAUGUCAAGCUGUAUUUGUUCAGGCAGCCAUAUGGUAGCCCCACGUCCUUAGUAAACUGAGGUAUUGAAGUAUCUUCUUUUUCUUUCAGAAAAUAUUUGUCAAGCACCUUCUGUGUUCAAAGAACUGUUCUAGAGCUUUGCAUGCUAUGGAGGUCUAGAAAUUCACAUUAUGGUGGCAGGUGACAGACAAUACAAAGAGAUAAAGCAAUUUCAUAUAGUGAUAAGCUAGGGAGGAGUGCUAAAAGGAGCCAAGGUGUAGUGGUGACUGGAAGGUGACCAGGGAAACCACUGUAGGGUUUCUAAGUGAUGAGAUCUGUGACAAAUCCCUGUGGUCAGCAGCAGGCAUUGGAUAUGUAACUUUAUUCUGUCCCAUUGAUCUUGUAGUCAACCCUGGUCUGUUCUGUAUUGUUUUAAUUACAUAAUCUUUGUAAUAAUCUUUAAUACCUGGU
ensembl:lncRNA GLIDR glioblastoma down-regulated RNA